rnacentral:tRNA from 1 species
CGGGAUGUAGCGUAGCUUGGUAGCGCGUCUGACUGGGGUUCAGAAGGUCGUGAGUUCAAAUCUCACCAUCCCGACCA